rnacentral:rRNA from 1 species
UACGGAGGGUGCGAGCGUUGUCCGGAAUCAUUGGGCGUAAAGGGUGCGCAGGUGGCCAAGUGUGUUAGGCGUGAAAGCCCGGGGCUUAACCCCGGAAUUGCACCUAAAACUACUCGGCUAGAGCAUUGGAGAGGGGAGCAGAAUUCAUGGUGUAGCGGUGAAAUGCGCAGAUAUCAGGAGGAACACCGGUGGCGAAGGCGGUUCUCUGGGCAUUACCUGACGCUGAGGAGCGAAAGUGUGGGGAGCGAACAGG